GUGGGGAAUAUUGGACAAUGGGGGGAACCCUGAUCCAGCCAUGCCGCGUGUGUGAAGAAGGCCUUUUGGUUGUAAAGCACUUUAAGCGAGGAGGAGGCUACCGAGAUUAAUACUCUUGGAUAGUGGACGUUACUCGCAGAAUAAGCACCGGCUAACUCUGUGCCAGCAGCCGCGGUAAUACAGAGGGUGCAAGCGUUAAUCGGAUUUACUGGGCGUAAAGCGCGCGUAGGUGGCCAAUUAAUUCAAAUGUGAAAUCCCCGAGCUUAACUUGGGAAUUGCAUUCGAUACUGGUUGGCUAGAGUAUGGGAGAGGAUGGUAGAAUUCCAGGUGUAGCGGUGAAAUGCGUAGAGAUCUGGAGGAAUACCGAUGGCGAAGGCAGCCAUCUGGCCUAAUACUGACACUGAGGUGCGAAAGCAUGGGGAGCAAACAGGAUUAGAAACCCGGGUAGUCC
rnacentral:rRNA from 1 species